rnacentral:rRNA from 1 species
UGCGUAGGUGGCGAGGUAAGUCGGAUGUGAAAUCUCGGAGCUCAACUCCGAAAUGGCAUUGGAAACUACCUUGCUCGAGGGUUGGAGGGGGGACUGGAAUACUUGGUGUAGCAGUGAAAUGCGUAGAUAUCAAGUGGAACACCAGUGGCGAAGGCGAGUCCCUGGACAACUCCUGACACUGAGGCACGAAAGCUAGGGGAGCAAACA